CAGUCGCCGCGGGAAUACAGAGGGUGCGAGCGUUAAUCGGAUUUACUGGGCGUAAAGCGUGCGCAGGCGGUUAUAUAAGACAGAUGUGAAAUCCCCGGGCUCAACCUGGGAACUGCAUUUGUGACUGUAUAGCUAGAGUACGGCAGAGGGGGAUGGAAUUCCGCGUGUAGCAGUGAAAUGCGUAGAUAUGCGGAGGAACACCGAUGGCGAAGGCAAUCCCCUGGGCCUGUACUGACGCUCAUGCACGAAAGCGUGGGGAGCAAACAGGAUUAGAUACCCCAGUAGUCCCUGUCUCUUAUAA
rnacentral:rRNA from 1 species